rnacentral:tRNA from 1 species
GAGAUAGGUCUGGGACACAAAGUACUGCUAAUUCUUUCUUCCAUGGUUCAAAUCCAUGACUAACUCA